AUUGAACGCUGGCGGCAGGCUUAACACAUGCAAGUCGAGCGGAGAGAGGUAGCUUGCUACUGAUCUUAGCGGCGGACGGGUGAGUAAUGCUUAGGAAUCUGCCUAUUAGUGGGGGACAACAUUUCGAAAGGAAUGCUAAUACCGCAUACGUCCUACGGGAGAAAGCAGGGGAUCUUCGGACCUUGUGCUAAUAGAUGAGCCUAAGUCGGAUUAGCUAGUUGGUGGGGUAAAGGCCUACCAAGGCGACGAUCUGUAGCGGGUCUGAGAGGAUGAUCCGCCACACUGGGACUGAGACACGGCCCAGACUCCUACGGGAGGCAGCAGUGGGGAAUAUUGGACAAUGGGCGCAAGCCUGAUCCAGCCAUGCCGCGUGUGUGAAGAAGGCCUUAUGGUUGUAAAGCACUUUAAGCGAGGAGGAGGCUACUUUAGUUAAUACCUAGAGAUAGUGGACGUUACUCGCAGAAUAAGCACCGGCUAACUCUGUGACAGCCGCCGCAGUAAAAC
rnacentral:rRNA from 1 species